UUGAUCUAGAACUAUACCAUCAGCUCUCCUGGUUCUCCGGCUUGUCUACUACUGAAUUUGUUGGGAUUUGUCAGCCUUCAUAAUCAUUGUGAAACAGCAAGAAUAUGUCCAGUAGCACAUUUUCUCUGGUGCUUUACGUGGAGUAGCUCCUAGACUGGCAGCCAUUUCCCAUAGAAGCUAUAAGGGAAAAGCAGUGGGCCUGUUUUCCUGGUCUGUGACCCUCAGAAGUGUUUCUUACGAUUUUUUGUUAUGGAAGACAAGAAGAGAGAGACGUGGAGCUGAGAAAAAAGAGAGAGACGUGGAGCUGGGAAAAAGCCCUUCCUCCUUUGUGGGUUUAGUUGCAGAAAGAGCCUUAAAUGUCCAGGAGGUGAUCUCAUCUUUCAAUUUAGUGGAGCCAUUGUUGUGUGCCUUUUGCUGGAAUCAUCCCAUCAUCCCAUCUUGACAAUUAAUAUCUCCAAAGAAACAGAGCUCAAAGUUACCAGCUUCAACCCACUGAAGAAAGGAACAUACACAGAAGAGGAAAACAUGGUGACUGAAAUAACACAGACUAUGCAUGAGGUGAAAUCAUUACAAUCUGGAAUUAUCAAGCUUGAAAAAGGAGAACUAACUUGGGAGACUUACAGUGCU